rnacentral:lncRNA from 1 species
UCCAGUGAAAGCGCGGUCUCAAAGAAUCAUCAGGAGUCCUGUAUCCCGCCCUAGACGAAGUGUAAGCAGGAGCCCACCAAGGAAAACAUCGCAUAAAUCAUUCAGCAGAAGCCCAGUAAAAGUUCCAAGAAGCAUAAGCAGAAGUCCACCUAGAAAAGCACCACAUAAAUCAAUUAGCAGAAGUCCUGUCAGAGCUUCAAGCAUAAGCAGAAGUCCACCUAGAAAAUCGUUGCUUAAAUCAGUUAGCAGAAGCCCUGUAAGAGAUUCAAGAAGCAUAAGCAGAAGCCCAGUGAGAUCUUCUCGAAGGAGUGCAAGCAGAAGCUCUGGUAGGGUUCCUUCUAGGAAAAGCACUAGCCGCAGUCCGUUCAG